UAGUGGCAGAUAAAUGUGAUAAAUUUAAGAUUUAUUAAUGAAACCCUUCCUUUAGAA
rnacentral:tRNA from 1 species